GAUGAACGCUAGCUGCAGGCUUAACACAUGCAAGUCGAGGGACCGGCGCACGUGUGAGUAACACGUAUCCAACCUGCCCUUUACUCGGGGAUAGCCUUUCGAAAGAUAGAUUAAUACCCGAUAUAAAGGAUGGGGAUGCGUUCCAUUAGGUUGUUGGUGAGGUAACGGCUCACCAAGCCUUCGAUGGAUAGGGGUUCUGAGAGGAAGGUCCACUACAUUGGAACUGAGACACGGUCCAAACGGCUACGGGAGGCAGCAGUGAGGAAUAUUGGUGAAUGGGCGCUAGCCUGAAACAGCCAAGUAGCGUGAAGGAUGAAGGCUUAUGGGUCGUAAACUUCUUGUAUAUAAGAAUAUGUAUUAUAUGAAUAAGGAGCGGCUAACUCCGUGCCAGCAGCCGCGGUAAUUC
rnacentral:rRNA from 1 species